rnacentral:tRNA from 1 species
AUAUUUUUAUUAUAAAAAGUAUUAUAAAUUUAGGUUUUAUAGGUUUAAAAAAUAUU